UACGGGGGGUGCGAGCGUUGUCCGGAAUCACUGGGCGUAAAGGGCGCGUAGGUGGUUUGAUAAGGGUGUGGUGAAAGUCCGGGGCUCAACCCCGGAUCUGCCGUGCCGACUGUCAAACUCGAGGGCUGUAGAGGCAGACGGAAUUCCGGGUGUAGCGGUGGAAUGCGUAGAGAUCCGGAGGAAGACCGGUGGCGAAGGCGGUCUGCUGGGCCGAUACUGACGCUGAGGAGCGAAAGCGUGGGGAGCGAACAGG
rnacentral:rRNA from 1 species